UUUCCGGUUGAUCCUGCCGGAGGCCAUUGCUAUUGGGAUCCGAUUUAGCCAUGCUAGUCGUGCGAGUUCAGACUCGCGGCACCGAGCUCAGUAACACGUGGCCAAACUACCCUACAGAGACGGACACCCUCGGGAAACUGAGGUUAACCCGUCAUACCGAUCUCAGGCUUGAAUCGCAGAGUCACAAAACGCCCCGGCGCUGUAGGAUGUGGCUGCGGUUGAUUAGGUAGACGGUGGGGUAACGGCCCACCGUGCCCAUAAUCAGUACAGGUUGUGAGAGCAAGAACCUGGAGACGGAAUCUGAGACAAGAUUCCGGGCCCUACGGGGCGCAGCAGGCGCGAAACCUUUACACUGCACGCACGUGCGAUAAGGGGACUCCGAGUGCGAGGGCAUAUCGUCCUCGCUUUCGUGUACCGUAGGGUGGUACACCAACAAGGGCUGGGCAAGACCGGUGCCAGCCGCCGCGGUAAUACCGGCAGCCCGAGUGAUGACCGAUCUUAUUGGGCCUAAAGCGUCCGUAGCUGGCUACGCAAGUCCGUCGGGAAAUCCACUCGCCCAACGAGUGGGCGUCCGACGGAAACUGCACAGCUUGGGACCGGAAGGCUCGAAGGGUACGUGCGGGGUAGGAGUGAAAUCCCAUAAUCCCGCACGGACCACCGAUGGCGAAAGCACUUCGAGAAAACGGAUCCGACAGUGAGGGACGAAAGCCAGGGUCUCCAACCGGAUUAGAUACCCGGGUAGUCCUGGCCGUAAACAAUGUUCGCUAGGUAUGACACAGACUACGUGUCUCUGUUGUGCCGUAGGGAAGCCCAGAAGCGAACCGCCUGGGAAGUACGUCCGCAAGGAUGAAACUUAAAGGAAUUGGCGGGGGAGCACUACAACCGGAGGAGCCUGCGGUUUAAUUGGAUUCAACGCCGGAA
rnacentral:rRNA from 1 species